rnacentral:rRNA from 1 species
CAGUCGCCGCGGUAAUACGAAGGGUGCAAGCGUUAAUCGGAAUUACUGGGCGUAAAGCGUGCGUAGGCGGUGAGUUAAGUCUGCUGUGAAAUCCCCGGGCUCAACCUGGGAAUGGCAGUGGAUACUGGGUCACUAGAGUGUGGUAGAGGAUAGUGGAAUUUCCGGUGUAGCAGUGAAAUGCGUAGAGAUCGGAAGGAACAUCUGUGGCGAAGGCGACUAUCUGGGCCAACACCGACACUGAGGCACGAAGGCGUGGGGAGCAAACAGGAUUAGAUACCCCCGUAGUCCCUGUCUCUUAUAC